rnacentral:rRNA from 1 species
CAGCCCCUCGAGUGGUGGGGAUGAUUGUUUGGCCUAAAGCGUCCGUAGCCGGCCGAGUAAGUCUCCCGUUAAAUCCAGCGUCUCAAGCGUUGGACUGCGGGAGAUACUGUACGGCUAGAGAGUGGGAGAGGUCAGCGGUAUUCUGGGGGUAGGGGCGAAAUCCUUUGAUCCCCGGAGGACCACCAGUGGCGAAGGCUGCUGACUAGAACACGUCUGACGGUCAGGGACGAAAGCUGGGGUAGCGAACCGGAUUAGAUACCCGAGUAGUCC